UCUCUCUCUCUCUCUCUCUCUCUCUCUCUCAUACACACAUAAACGUCGGACCUUCAAGAAACCACCCAUUUAUUGAUCGUGAACAAGAAACCACAAAGAACGAAAAGCACCGCAACCUCAAGAAAGAGCUCCAUCAAUCCACAGAGCCUGAUCCUCUUGCUCCUCAGAUGCUCCCUCACAACCUCUAUUUUCAGAUCUCCAAUCUCUCUCCUUAGCGGCUUCUCCAUCUCCUGAAUCACAAAACCAUCAACUCUGGUCAUCAAUUACAGAAACAGAUCGAAAAUCGGAGAAAGCGAUCUGUGGUUCUCUCUCUCCUUCUUCUUCAUUGUGAGAGUGAUCUGCGGUUCUUCUUCUUCUUCUCCCCAAGAUCAAGAAUUGAUAAGCUAUCUCACGAUCCAAGGAUCGAAAGCUGUCUCGCAUAGGUCCACCAGCGGUCUCGUACGUCACUAAUCUCGCUUUCUCUGUGACCUCUUCCAACUGGAGUUGGCUUCAGGUUCAUGGCAACUUAUUCAAAGAGGCUGUUCUCGUGCAAAAGAAUGUGGAUCACCGAGGGUUCAGAGGCUAUGUUCUGUCAUUUAUGAAACCAAUAUGGACUGAUCUAGUUUUCUUUCGUUGUCUUUGUUUAGCAUUGAAGAGCGAGAGAAGCCAGUAAGUUAAAUUGUACCUUCGUAUGUUUGAAAUCCAAUUUAGUAAUAUAACCUAUUGAUUAUCUGUUCAAGUACUUGUCUAACAAUCAGUCGGUUGGCCCAAUACCAAACAUUACCAGCAUGAAUCUCCUCAACUAUGGGGUCGAUUCAAGUAUCAGACUAACCAAGUUAGAGCUUUUGGGAUGCUAGCUAGAGGCACUGGCAUCACUCCAAUGUUCCAGAUUUGGUCAAUAACCUUGGUGCCAUUGCAAGGUCUAGCACCAAGGAAUUGAUGGAAGUCUAGGCUGCUGGAGCUGAUGUUAGCAUGUUUGGUGUCGGGUUCUACUUUGGAUAUAUUGUUGCUGAGAAGGAAGAGGAAGGAAAGGUAUAGAGUUUGGAAGUUGAUGAAGACAAGGAAGUGGACUAGUACAAUAUGUUUCUAGCUUGAUGUUUUUGGGCUUUAUGUUUAGGUAGGGUUAGUAUGUUAAUGUUAGGGUGAUGAUGGAAUGAAUAGG